UACGGGGGGGGCAAGCGUUGUUCGGAAUUACUGGGCGUAAAGGGCUCGUAGGCGGCCAACUAAGUCAGACGUGAAAUCCCUCGGCUUAACCGGGGAACUGCAUCUGAUACUGGAUGGCUUGAGUUCGGGAGAGGGAUGCGGAAUUCCAGGUGUAGCGGUGAAAUGCGUAGAUAUCAAGAGGAACACCUGAGGUGAAGACGGGUUGCUGGGCCAACACUGACGCUGAUGCGCGAAAGCCAGGGGAGCAAACGGG
rnacentral:rRNA from 1 species